CUGCCGGCUGCGCUCGGUGUCGCGGCCACCCCGUGCGCGCCGGCUCGGACCCCGGCAGGUUUGCGGCCCGGCAGCCCUGACCACGGCCGACACCCCCAGAGGGCACCCAGCCCGCCUGCUUUCUCUUUCUCCUCCUCCUGGCCUCGCCCGCCCCUCCGUUUCCAGACCUUGACAGCUUCGGAAGAGGCACGUUCUGCCCAUCGCCUCUCUGAUCCUCGCCGCCUCCGCUUAGAUGCUACAGACCUUGCCCUCAGGAGCUCGGAGCCUAAUGAGGAAGAUGCACAUUUGAAAAAUUAACCAAAUAAGGAAUCAGAGAUCCAGAGAAGUUAAACAACUUGCCUAAAGACACACAACUAAAUAAUGGCAGAGCCAGGACAAGAAUCCAAAUCUCCUGGCUGCUAGUCUACAAUCAGAAGAUAUUCUGAGCAUCAUCAGUCAUAGUGGAUUCUGAAAGAGAUACCGGAACACCAGAGAAUAAGAGCUCCUUGGAUUUCCAGCUUCACCCUUGCCGAGUAAUAUUCCAAGGUUUGAACCAACACUCUGACGAUUUCUGCCAAGCAGUGCAGCUUCCAAAGUCCAACCCAACCUUCCCUCCUUCCCUUGCCCUGGAACCCCCAGACCUGGUGCAGGGAGCAAUGCCAUCCCCCCAAAGGACCUGAAAGUGUACCGGGGCAAGGGAAGCCCAGGACUGAACUUUUUCUGAGAUCCUAUGUGAUAAGGCAUGCUGCCCAGCGCCCCUCCUACCUGCAACCUUUCUCCCCAGAGACUCCUUCUUCAGGACACCCUCCGAGAUGUACAGCAGGGCAUGAAAGCCACUAAGAGAUGGCAGGGCCUUCCACAAUUGCUACCAGUCUUGCCUUCGCUGUUUAGGCUUUUUGCCUAUGGAGUCAUGAUGUUCCCAGCUUUAACUGAACUUGUCACUCACAGGCCUGGAUAAAGACUGGCCCUUACACACAUGGCUGACCACGUCUUCUGCAAUGCACUCUUUCUAAAGAGGAGGAAGCUCGUACUUUCUCUGUCCAGUCUACUCCCUGUCCUUUGUAAAUUGGUUCCUGGGCCAAAGAAACACACGCCAGGACUCCCUAGAACUUGAGUUCUCAACUGUGGCUGCUCAUUGGAACUAACCUGGGGAGCUUUUAAAUCCCGGUGGCCUGGGCACUAUGCCAGACCAACUCAGUCAGAACCUCUGGAGACGCAACCAGGCACUGUCAUUUUUAAUGCUCCACAGGUGAUUCUAGGGGGCAGCCAGGGUUGAGAACCACCGCUCUAGAUUCGAGAGUCCAGACUGUGUCCUUCUAGGCCUCCAGCUCCCCCUCUCUUGGACUCCAGUCUCAUGUUUUAUCUAAAUUCCAGUUUGUGUGAUUUUGAUUCUGCAUUUUCAUUCUUCCCAGGAGAAUCAGGCAGGGGCCAUUUUACAUAAACCAACUAGGCCUUCAGGGCUCAGACUCUGAUGGGAGGAGUCGGGAAGCAGGUAGGACACACUGCCCCUCCUGGAGCAGUGAUUCUCAACUUUUAAAACAUAAAGAUGCUGGGACCUUACCCCAGACUAAUUUAACUAGUUGAGGAUGAAUGCAGGAAAUCACUAUUGUUUUAGAGUUCUCCGGUAGAUUCAGAUGCACAGCCAGGGUUCAGAGCCACUGGCUGGUAAACUCAUAGAUCCCAGAUCAUCUUGAAUUGGUUCUUCUCGGACAUAGCUCAUUUUCUUAAUGUGUUUAUUUCUUUUUUCUUUUUUUUUUUUUUUUGUGAGGAAGAUCAGCCCUGAGCUAACAUCUGUGCUAAUCCUCCUCUUUUUG